AUGACAGCUCAGUGGUAGAACAUCUAUUUUGCAUUGCAGAAGGUCCCAGGUUCGAUCCCUGGUGUCUCUA